GUAAUCACUUCAGCAGUACAUAUACUAAUAUUAGAACGUUGAAGAGAAGAUUAGCAUGGCCCCUGCAUUUAGAUGACACGGAAAAUUGUGAAGCAUUCAAUAUUUUU